rnacentral:rRNA from 1 species
AACGAACGCUGGCGGCAGGCCUAACACAUGCAAGUCGAACGCUCCGCAAGGAGAGUGGCAGACGGGUGAGCAACACGUGGGAAUCUUCCUAUCGAUACGGAAUAGCUCAGGGAAACUUGAGGUAAUACCGCAUACGCCCUUCGGGGGAAAGAUUUAUCGCCGAUAGAUGAGCCCGCGUCUGAUUAGCUAGUUGGUGGGGUAAUGGCCUACCAAGGCGACGAUCAGUAGCUGGUCUGAGAGGAUGACCAGCCACACUGGGACUGAGACACGGCCCAGACUCCUACGGGAGGCAGCAGUGGGGAAUAUUGGACAAUGGGCGCAAGCCUGAUCCAGCCAUGCCGCGUGAGUGACGAAGGUCUUCGGAUUGUAAAGCUCUUUUGCCAGGGACGAUAAUGACGGUACCUGGAGAAUAAGCCCCGGCUAACUUCGUGCCAGCAGCCGCCGUAAGAC